GGGCCCGCACAAGCGGUGGAGCAUGUGGUUUAAUUCGAUGAUACGCGAGGAACCUUACCAGGGCUUAAAUGCAGAACGACAGAGGUGGAAACACCUCCUUCUUCGGACGGUCUGCAAGGUGCUGCAUGGUUGUCGUCAGCUCGUGCUGUGAAGUGUCGGGUUAAGUCCCAUAACGAGCGCAACCCCUAUUUCUAGUUGCCAGCGGUUCGGCCGGGGACUCUAGAGAAACUGCCAGCGUAAGCUGUGAGGAAGGUGGGGAUGACGUCAAAUCAUCACGGCCCUUACGUCCUGGGCUACACACGUGCUACAAUGGUAGGGACAGAGAGUAGCCACUUCGCAAGAAGGAGCGAA
rnacentral:rRNA from 1 species